GAUGAACGCUAGCGGGAGGCUUAACACAUGCAAGUCGAGGGGCAGCAUAGGGUAGCAAUACUCUGAUGGCGACCGGCAAACGGGUGAGUAACGCGUAUGCAACCUACCCUGUACAGGGGGAUAACCCGGAGAAAUUCGGACUAAUAUCCCGUAAUAAUAUCCGGAGGCAUCUUUGGAUAUUUAAAGUUCCGACGGUACGGGAUGGGCAUGCGUAACAUUAACUGGUUGGUAAGGUAACGGCUUACCAAGGCUAUGACGUUUAGGGGUCCUGAGAGGGUGGUCCCCCACACUGGUACUGAGACACGGACCAGACUCCUACGGGAGGCAGCAGUGAGGAAUAUUGGUCAAUGGGCGCAAGCCUGAACCAGCCAUCCCGCGUGCAGGAAGACGGCCCUAUGGGUUGUAAACUGCUUUUCCAGGGGAGAGAAACUUACGCACGUGUUGCGUGACUGACGGUACCCUGGGAAUAAGCAUCGGCUAACUCCGUG
rnacentral:rRNA from 1 species